rnacentral:rRNA from 1 species
UACAGAGACUGCAAGCGUUAUUCGGAUUUACUGGGCGUAAAGGGUGCGCAGGCGGCCAAGUGUGUGAGGCGUGAAAGCCCGGGGCUUAACCCCGGAAUUGCACCUCAAACUACAUGGCUAGAGCAUUGGAGAGGGUAGCAGAAUUCACGGUGUAGCAGUGAAAUGCGUAGAUAUCGUGAGGAAUACCAGAGGCGAAGGCGGCUACCUGGACAAUUGCUGACGCUCAGGCACGAAAGCGUGGGGAGCAAAAGGG